GCAGUGGGUACGGGCAGACUAGAGUGCGGUAGGGGAGAAUGGAAUUCCUGGUGUAGCGGUGGAAUGCGCAGAUAUCAGGAGGAACACCGAUGGCGAAGGCAGUUCUCUGGGCCGUAACUGACGCUGAGGAGCGAAAGGUGGGGAGCGAACAGGAUUAGAUACCCUGGUAGUCCACGCCGUAAACGUUGGGCGCUAGAUGUGGGGCCGUGUCGCAGCUAACGAUUAAGCGCCCCGCCUGGGGAGUACGGCCGCAAGGCUAAAACUCAAAGGAAUUGACGGGGGCCCGCACAAGCGGCGGAGCAUGCGGAUUAAUUCGAUGCAACGCGAAGAACCUUACCAAGGCUUGACAUACAGGUGGUGCAUGGUUGUCGUCAGCUCGUGUCGUGAGAUGUUGGGUUAAGUCCCGCAACGAGCGCAACCCUCGUUCUAUGUUGCAACUCAUAGGAGACUGCCGGGGUCAACUCGGAGGAAGGUGGGGAUGACGUCAAAUCAUCAUGCCCCUUAUGUCUUGGGCUUCACGCAUGCUACAAUGGCCGGUACAAAGGGCUGCAAUACCGUAAGGUGGAGCGAAUCCCAAAAAGCCGGUCUCAGUUCGGAUUGAGGUCUGCAACUCGACCUCAUGAAGUCGGAGUCGCUAGUAAUCGCAGAUCAGCACGCUGCGGUGAAUACGUUCCCGGGCCUGCACACACCGCCCGUC
rnacentral:rRNA from 1 species